GAUGAAGAACGUAGUAAAAUGCGAUAAUUAAUGUGAAUUGCAGAAUUCAGUGAAUCAUCGAGUCUUUGAACGCACAUUGCGCCCCCUGGUAUUCCGGGGGGCAUGCCUGUCCGAGCGUCAUUGCUGCCCUCAAGCACGGCUUGUGUGUUGGGCCCCCGUCCCCGGUUCUCCCCGGGGACGGGCCCGAAAGGCAGCGGCGGCACCGCGUCCGAUCCUCGAGCGUAUGGGGCUUUGUCACCCGCUCUGUAGGCCCGGCCGGCGCCAGCCGACACCCCAACUUUAUUUUCUAAGGUUGACCUCGGAUCAGGUAGGGAUACCCGCUGAACUUAAGCAUAUCAAUAAGCGGAGGA
rnacentral:misc_RNA from 1 species